AGCGUAGACGGAUGGACAAGUCUGAUGUGAAAGGCUGGGGCUCAACCCCGGGACUGCAUUGGAAACUGCCCGUCUUGAGUGCCGGAGAGGUAAGCGGAAUUCCUAGUGUAGCGGUGAAAUGCGUAGAUAUUAGGAGGAACACCAGUGGCGAAGGCGGCUUACUGGACUGAAACUGGCACUGAGGCACGAAAGCGUGGGGAGCAAACA
rnacentral:rRNA from 1 species